GGUUCCUAGGAGGCACCUUUCUCUUGCUCCAAGGCCCUCUCUCUUGGAACAUGGUGAUUCCAGAUAGCUUUGCCCCUGACCCUGUCGGCCACCUGGAAGAGCAAUAGCUGAAACCCUUCCUGAGCCUGAAGGCUGAUCAUAUCAUGGACGUGAUACUGGUAGACUCCAGGAAACUGCUGUCCUCAGCCUCACCUCCUAGGCAGAGAGAUCAUCAAGUGAUAAGUCACCGUGAGCUGACAGAACAUCAAAGACAUCUAUCUGCCUGUCGUGGAAGUCUCCAGGGUAGGGUGUACGUGUAGCAGCCCUUGUUUGAGGGAGGAGCAUGUUUCCCACAUAAGGACAAGUUCCUGGAAACCCUCUUCCUUUCCUGUGAGGACCUGAACUAGAGCUAGCUCCAUCUCCUGCUCAGGGACUCCCAGUUCUUAUAUAGCCCUGACUGUACCAGUGUUACUGUUUCGAGUGAGUAGAUAUCCUGGUGGAUCCUGGGACCUCAGAGUGAAUCAACGUCAUGGCCUGCCAGGUUUGCUUCCUCUGCCUUUCUCUCAAAGCAGCCUGCUGCAGAGGCGGAGGACAUGGCACCACCAGCUAAAGGCCUUCCAUCACCUGGAUGGGGCAAACCUCGGGGAGAUGUGCAAGGCAGUGCCUAUGUGGAAGGAUGAGGCAGGGCAUGUGCUGACACAUGGGAGGAUAUUGAACAUGAGCUAAAGAGUUUGGGCUUUGGGGAAGUGGAUCUGGUUUUGAGGGAGAAAGAUGGAAGAACUCAGAAGCUGUCACAAACAUCGCAAGGAGAGACAUGGAAGGAUGGGGCCCCUUUGACUUCGUGUAAAUGGCUCAACACAACCCCUAGUCUACUGCUGUGACCACUGCCCUGGCUGGUGCCAGUUCCAAUUCCACCGGGUCCUACAGUACACAUGACCGCACCCAGGUUGACUGCAGCCCUUCUUCUGGAUGUUUGUCAGCAACCCACUGCUGACUAAGAAUGACCAAACCUCAGCAGCCUAACUCGAGAUGGAGGCUAUGACCUUCAGGAUGUCUGCUGCAGAUCCUCCAGAAUGCUGUAUGGGUGUGCAGCGACAUGGGGGUGAGAGGGAGCAAGCAUGCACGAGACACUGACACCAGGGAAGGAACAGUUCCUGAAAGCCCAAGUCAGUACAAGAGCCACGCUGGUACCCAGAGCCUGGAGCUCCUGGAGAACUGCCUUCUCCCCCCUACCAGAAUACUUCAGAUAUUUUUCUCAGAGCUCACUUCCUCUU
rnacentral:lncRNA from 1 species